ACUCAUCCAGCCGGGGGAGGGGGUGCCAGGGCCGCCCCUCGGUGUCCCCCCUCCCCGCCCCCAUCAGACCACGCCGGCCUCCCGCAGGGGCUCCCCGUCCUCCAGCCGGGCCCAGCCCAGGCGCCGCAGGUCCAGGCUCUCGAAGCGGCCCCGGAUCACCAGCUCGGCCACGGCCCUGCCGGCGGCGGGCGAGUGCUGGAGGCCGUGCCCGCUGAAGCCCGCGGCCAGGAACAUGUUCUCCAGCCGGGGAAAACCAAAAGUUACACCCUUUCCUGAAACCCGACUCCUACAGAUACCCUUGGAGGAAGAUAUAUAGCCAGGAGGAUGGAGCUUGGUUCCUGCCCAAGGAGAAGCACCUUCCUCAAAGAUAGCUGGAUGGUUUUUUUUAACUCCUGCGUUCCAGAGGAAGCUUCCAGGCUCUCUCCCUCUGGUUUGAGCAGAGAUAAACCCUCACAGAUGUUCACCAUCAGGCAGCGAUGAUAAAAGCCAAGGAAAACCAGAGGGGCAUGUCUUUCUCAGGCACUGUUAGGAAUUUUCCCUUGUAAGCCCAGGGAAUAAACGUUCCCGGAAUCCUU